ACGGAGGGUGCAAGCGUUAAUCGGAAUUACUGGGCGUAAAGCGCGCGUAGGCGGCCGAAUCAGUCGGGUGUGAAAGCCCCGGGCUCAACCUGGGAACUGCAUUCGAUACUGUUUGGCUGGAGUAUGGGAGAGGGCAGUGGAAUUCCACGUGUAGCGGUGAAAUGCGUAGAUAUGUGGAGGAACACCAGUGGCGAAGGCGACUGCCUGGCCCAAUACUGACGCUGAGGUGCGAAAGCGUGGGGAUCAAACAGG
rnacentral:rRNA from 1 species